rnacentral:rRNA from 1 species
ACGCUCGACACCUACGGGAGGCAGCAGUGGGGAAUAUUGCACAAUGGGGGAAACCCUGAUGCAGCGACGCCGCGUGAGCGAAGAAGUAUCUCGGUAUGUAAAGCUCUAUCAGCAGGGAAGAAGAUGACGGUACCUGACUAAGAAGCACCGGCUAAAUACGUGCUAGCAGCCGCGGUAAUCUGAGCGGGCUGGCAAGGC